rnacentral:rRNA from 1 species
CCUACGGGAGGCUGCAGUGAGGAAUAUUGGUCAAUGGGCGGGAGCCUGAACCAGCCAAGUCGCGUGAGGGAAGAAGGUACUGAGUAUUGUAAACCUCUUUUGCCAGGGGACAAAGGCGGCCACGGGUGGCCGUAAGAGGGUACCUGGAGAAAAAGCAUCGGCUACCUCCGUGCCAGCAGCCGCGGUAAUACGGAGGAUGCGAGCGUUAUCCGGAUUUAUUGGGUUUAAAGGGUGCGUGGGCGGAUUGUUAAGUCAUUGGUCAACUUGCGGGGCUCAACCCCUUCCCGCCAUUGAAACUGGCGCUCUUGAGUGGAAGAGAAGUAUGCGGAAGGCGUGGUGUAGCGGUGAAAUGCAGAGAUAUCACGCAGAACCCCGAUUGCGAAGGCAGCAUGCCGGCUUCCGACUGACGCUGAAGCACGAAAGCGUGGGGAUCGAACAGGAUUAGAUACCCUUGUAGUC